GCCGCUAUGGUGAAAUCGGUAGACACGCUGCUCU
rnacentral:tRNA from 1 species